UGCGUCUAUGACAAAAAUAUUUUUUGCUUUAGAUGAGACUUAAACGUAAGCAAGGUCUAGGUUUACCUUGCAAUAAUAGUUUCGUGUUGAUUUAAAAAUAUUUCUGUUUCUGACAUUGAUUUAAUAUUGUUUUGUAUACUAAAUCUGUAGGUAUUGAAAUGCUUACACAAAGCAAUAGUACCCUUCCCUAAACGAGCCCCUAAUUUUGCGGAAAAGCUAUGUGAAAUUAAAUCGACCCUGUACUUAUUCUUGUUAAUUGAACUUUAUAUUAUAUUUGGUAUAUAAAAAAAGAAAAAAAGAGGAGGAUAUGAACCCCUGCCUCAGUCUAUUCAUACAUAUAUAUGCAGGUGAACAUAUGUCUGUAGGUAGUUUAAUAUGAAAGAUUUCAAAAGCCAAUUAAGAAAGUUUCAGAAUCGAGACGACUAUGUGCAAUUUAAUUUUAGUCUAACAUUGAAUAUGGCUUGUAGACUCAACAAUAAUUUCAACAUUUUGAACGUGACGUCACGACAAAUGGUUACAUGCCAUUAUUCCGACGGCCCAUUAGUCCGAUAGCCCAUUGGUCCGACAACCCAUUAGUCCGACAACCCAAUAGUCCGAUAACACAUUGCUCCGAC
rnacentral:lncRNA from 1 species